rnacentral:rRNA from 1 species
UAAUACGUAGGGUGCGAGCGUUAAUCGGAAUUACUGGGCGUAAAGCGUGCGCAGGCGGUUCGUUAUGUCCGAUGUGAAAGCCCCGAGCUUAACUUGGGAAUGGCAUUGGAAACUGGCGGGCUGGAGUGCGGCAGAGGGGGGUGGAAUUCCACGUGUAGCAGUGAAAUGCGUAGAGAUGUGGAGGAACACCGAUGGCGAAGGCAGCCCCCUGGGCCGACACUGACGCUCAGGCACGAAAGCGUGGGGAGCAAACAGGAUUAGAUACCCUGGUAGUCCACGCCCUAAACGAUGUCAACUGGGUGUUGGGGAAGCGAUUCCUUGGUACCGUAGCUAACGCGUGAAGUUGACCGCCUGGGGAGUACGGCCGCAAGGUUA